rnacentral:rRNA from 1 species
GACGAACGCUGGCGGCGUGCUUAACACAUGCAAGUCGAGCGGUAAGGCCCUUUCGGGGGUACACGAGCGGCGAACGGGUGAGUAACACGUGGGUGACCUGCCUUUAGCUCUGGGAUAAGCCUGGGAAACUGGGUCUAAUACCGGAUAUGACUCCACGAUGCAUGUUGUGGGGUGGAAAGCCUUGUGCGGCUGGAGAUGGGCCCGCGGCCUAUCAGCUUGUUGGUGGGGUGANGGCCUACCAAGGCGACGACGGGUAGCCGGCCUGAGAGGGCGACCGGCCACACUGGGACUGAGACACGGCCCAGACUCCUACGGGAGGCAGCAGUGGGGAAUCUUGCGCAAUGGGCGAAAGCCUGACGCAGCGACGCCGCGUGAGGGAUGACGGCCUGGU